GCGUGACCACAGUGCACACGUCUGCUGUUGCUCACAGUGGUCCAAGGGACGCUCAGGGAGUUUGUGUGUUCGCUCAGACACAUGAAAAAUUAGAGGGAACUUUGGACCUCACCAUUCCAGUUCCAGAAAAUAGCAAUUUAGAAGUUGUGACACUGCUGCCUGAAAAGUAUGUUAUCACAAUUCUGUUAUGGAAUUCAUUCUAUCCAAUGAAUCCCGUGUAUGAAAAAAAUUCUAUAUAGAUCAAAUUUGUAUGUUUAAAAACAGAUAGGGCUGAGAAUUUCAUUAAACAUGAAAUUACAUAUCACGUUUUCUACAUGUUAGGAUACCUGGGUCCCAGUGGUUAUGGUUUUGAUUUAUCUAUAAUCUUUGAUUUAGUGUUUCUGUUAUUUACAUUUGGAAUUUCAAGCUCCCCUAUAUAUUUAGUAUUUCUGAUGUGUAGUUCUUAGUUUUGUUACAGUGCCUUCCCUGUGUUCUUGUGUCUCUUUGUCUCAGUUAUGUUUUCAUGUCUGUUCUUUCCCCGUCUCGUCUGUGUGAUUAGCGCCACCUGUGUUUCCUCUUUGCCCUGUUCCCCUCUUGUAUUUAGUAUCUGUCUUUUCCUCUGCUCAUCGUUGUCCUCGUCCUCCCUCAUUCCCCGCUGUGUGUCCUACCAAAAACAUAUGAUUUUGUUAUAAAAUUUCAGCUCUCACGUGGAAGGCUGAGACUUCCAAAUGGCUGAUUCAGACACUGGCUACACCUGGAAUUUUUUUGUUUGCACGGGAAAGAGUGAGGUCAGCACAACAUAUGGACUAAGCUACUCAGCUGUUAUGGAUCUUUUACCUCUGUUGUUGCUUGGUCAGGGCUACAUUUUGUAUGUGGACAACACACAAGCUCUACACAAGCUCUUUUUUGGUGAGCUAUACCAAAAAAAUAAAUAAAUAAAUUGGCUGUUGUGGCACAAUUAGAAUUUAAUUUAUUUUGAUUUAGAAUGAGGGACAAUACAUAUUAAUGAACAUUUUAACAAAUGUAAAGAAAAAAACUGACUGGCUUUCCGCACACAAGCAAAAAUGACUUUCCUAAGAAGGCAGAGAGGGGAGAUGUGCGCUGGAUAAGGAAAGACGAACUGCUGUUUGGGAAGUGGACUGACACACGAGAGGUCACAAUGUGCUCCACGGUGCACAAGGCCAGAAAGACUGUGCAGCGAAAAGUGAAGGGAGCUGCAGGUUGGACAACAAAGGCUGUACCUGUUCCGGAUUGUGUUGUGAACUACAACAAGAACAUGGGUGGUGUUGAUUUGUCCGAUCCUCUGAUUGGUUAUUACACUGUCCUCCAUAAAACUAUGAAAUGGUAUAAAACUUUUUUUUUUUUAUCAUUUCUUAGACAUUGCUGUCGUUAACAGUUUUUUUUUUUGCAUAUGGAGUUAUGCAAGAGCUAGGGUAAGGAGACAAUGACACAAAAAAGUUCCAGGAGCACGUUGCCAAGGAGAUGCUUGACUUUGCUGUUACCUCAGCAUCACCACCACCAACACAAAUGCCUAAACCCAACUGCAUGCCACGUUAUUUGGCAGCAAUGCAACAGUUUCAAGGAGAUAUUGCAGGACGUACCAGGAUGCUGGCAUCCCGAGUGUGAAAACCCCAAUUUCUUGUAGGGCUUUAUUUCUUUGUUCAUGUAAACGGUCAUCCAAUAAUAUUUAAUAUUCAAGUAUGGUGAGCAACCAUUAACAAUUUAGAGGUAUCAAAGCCGUGUGCUUAACUUCUCCAACUCUACAGACCUAUUCAUGACAGAGAACUGCUCCAAAAAUGACCCCCUAGUUACGUUAGACUCACUUGGAAAUGAAAUAAAUUAUUUUUAAUAAUUUGCAUACACACCCAGAGACACAGAGGCUUGGAAGGACCUUUGAUGAUAAUGUCGUAAGGCCAGGGAACUCAUCAUUGUAAAAAACAAGUUUAUGUUAUGGUUCUGAGUCUGAGGACUCAGUGUUUUGUUUUAAUUAAUAUUAUCUUAUGUUUCGGUUUAAUUCUGGUUAUGUCUUCUGCUAGGAUUUUUAGUUCUUAGGUUUUGGUUCCCGUGCUCCCUCUGUUCUGCAUCUAGUCUGUGUCUCUGUGCCUGUCGUGUGCUUCGUGUUUUAUUUUGACAGUGCCUGCUCUGCAUUCAGUCCUGAAGUUUGUUUUUGACCUAGUCUUUGACGAGAACGCUACACAAGUUGACAUUUUUGGAACACCAUAUUGGAGAAGAACAUGGAUACUGAUUCGUUUGAAAACGUGAAUCAGUCCCUGGAGGCUGACUCACCUCCAGAUCCUCCAAGUACCAAAUUUGAACUCUCCUUGGAGAAGGGUCUUACGGCACAGUUGCAAAAUGUGUCAGAAUGGCUGACAAAAAGACUGUAGCUAUUAAAAUAAUAAAACAUCAGAACCCAAAAGACCUGUUGGAAAACCAAGAGCUCACUGCCCUGUGAAAACUUAACACCUGUAACUCCAACAGACACACUAUACUUGAUUGGUACCAAGCUUUUGCAGACAGUUUCAAGGCAGUUCGUCCCAUUGUCAUGCAGAUUGCAACUGCUCUUAGUCACCUCAAGUCUAUUGGAACAGCACACGCAGACUUGAAAUUAGAAAACGAAAUGUUGGUGAAACAUCACCAAGAGCCGUACCGAAUUAAAGUAAUUGACUUUGGCCUGGCCUGUGACAACUCAGCUGCUAAAGUGGGCUCUUACAUUCAGACCCAUCCGUACCGGCAAGUAGCUGGAAUCAAAUUUAAUCUCUUCCUCGCAAUAUGACACAAAAUCCAGUGUUUGUGCUUUCUGUUAUGUGUUUGUCAGCUGUAGUACAAAUCAUACUUAUCCAAAUGGUCAAUAAUAAGAAAAAAUGUAACAAUCAUUUCUCUUUGUCAUCCACCAGGUCUCCGGAGAUUAUUCCAGGGCUUCCGUUUACAGAAGCCAUAGACGUAUGGUCUCUGGGCUGAAUGGCACUGGUUUCUUGCUGUACCCUGGAUACAGUGAAUAAGUAAAACAAUAUGACUAAAUGCUGCUUUGUAUUUCUUCUGAAGAACUUGAUUUCAAGCUUUAUUGAAAUGACUGACAACAAACUUUUAGUGUUAAUCCCUGUGAUGGCAUCAGACAUGUCUUCCAACAAUUCCCAGGACAAGUUAGUCCCUAGAGGCUGAUUCACCUCCAGAUCCUCCAAGUACCAGAUUUGAACUCUCCUUGGAGAAGGGUCUUAUGGCACAGUUGCAAAAUGUGUCAGAAUGGCUGACAAAAUUUCAAGCUUUAUUGAAAUGAUUGACAACAAUUGUAUGUCACUUAAAAGUCUGUGUUUGACUCCCAGUUUGAUUAAAUAUUCUGCUGUCCUCUCAGCUGAGAUACAUUAUCGACACCCAAGGACAACCCCCAAAGAAAAUGUUAGACUCUGGGCAAAAGAGUGUCCAGUUUUUCUGCAGAGAGUUAAAUUCCUGUCGCAAAUACCACUGGAAUCUCACGGUACCACUUCACCACUGCUCUGGUUAAUCCUGUAUACCAGUCUUUAAACUUAUUAGCAUAUUUCUUAUUUUCUAACCUUUGAUUUUUAAUAUGUUGUAAAACAUAAAUCUUGUUUCUGAUUUGGCCAGAGCCAAAUAUGAAUAUCUCUGUUAACACCUUCAAUGACAGUCGGGGUGAGGACCACCGCUGCAGAAAAGCAAGAGGACAAGCAGAGUAACACGUGAUUUUUUUAACGUGACACGAGUGCCUCACUUCACCAAAUUUAUAACUUUUGGCUAAUGAAAAUGAUACACUGUUAAAAUUCAUAUCUGCAGUAAUGAGGUCAGUAAAGCUAAUACUGAAUCAGUGUGUUAUGUCACUAACACUGUCACAGUCUAAUCAUUCCCUUCCCUCCCCCCAACUGGUUGCAGUAGAUGGCUGCCCCUGUAAAGGGUAGCUUUUCCUUUCCAAUGUCGCAAAAUGCUUGCGCAGGGGGUCACUUGAUUGUUGGGGGUUUAGUGCCUUCAGCUGACUUUUGUUGUGAAUUGGCAUUUUUAUUGAAUAUUUUUUCCUGUACUGAUAGGCAUAGAAUGGCACAGCAUAUAUUCAUCGGAUUUCUGGAAGUAUAAUUUUCACUAGUUACUUAGAAAUGAUAACAUCAGAACCCAUUUCAAAAAAUUCCCCAACAACUUUACACUAAAUGCCCUUCUUGACACAAGCCUCAAAUUUCGAGCUCUAAAGUAUGGCAGUGUGAAGUUUGUUUGGGUGUUUGGAUUUCACAAGGAAACGGGCAGAUCUAAAGAAAUUUUCUUUAGGUGGCAUAAGGGUGGUAAUUAAAAUCAAAUGGGGUGGCAAAGCCAUGUUUUUACACGCUGGUAUUACGUCCUGCAAUAGGCAUUAUAUGUGGUUAAAAAACACCAAAUGCAGUAAGUAUACACAUUUCAAAUAAAUAUAGUCUAUAACUUUAUGUCAUUUAGCCCAGAUAGUUAAACAUUUCAGUUACAUAAAAGAUAUGAAUUUUGAUUUUAUGUACUGUACAGCCUAGAUAAUAAAUAAGUGUGUAGCCCAAUUAACAUAAAAUCCAGAAAGCUACACAAAAUGGGGGAAUUCAUUUGGUUCAAACCCAAGAAGUUUCACACUCGUUUUAUUAGAAAUAAUUAAAUUGUUACACUGAAAUCACACAAAAACAUAAAAACUGAGCUUAAAAACAGCAACAAGCUGCUAGCAUCUUAAACCGGUCACGUGAUUUGGAGGUGUGGUGUGUCCAUUGACCACAGAGGGCUAAUAACACUUGUGUUGAAAUAUAAAAAUGCCCAUGGUAUUGAUUCAGAAUGUGGUCUGGCACAAUUAAGGGGGGGGGGGGCUUUAAAAGGUUGAAAAUCAAAAAAUAUACACACUAGUUGAUGUUUAUGGUUCAACCGGCUGAAAUUGUUGUAAGAGACACUCAUUUAAAGUAAAAAAAAAUUAUUGCUAUAUUUUUACAGUACUUUUGUUUUAAAUUUGACAGUUUUGUAGAAACUACUAUCUUUUGGUCCUUAGGAUCACGAAUGCCAGUUUUAUUUUAAAUUUGACGUAACAGAAAAAAUAAAAAUGCAUUGAAAAUCAAUGUUGCUGCCAAUCUUUAACCCAUCUUAGGGUCUAAUAAAACAAUAAUCAUAUACUUUACUAUACUAAUAGUAGUAGUUUACAAAUUUUAAUGACAUUUUUGGGAGUUUUUUUUUUUUUGAGUAAAAAAAACAAACCCUAGGCCUUUAAAGGGUUAAAACCCCCAAACUAUAAAUACUAUUUGAUAUUUAUAGUUCAAGCUGAAAGGGCUUUAAAGACUGAGUCAUUUAAAUUGGAAAAAAAUAGUACGAUAUAAUACUUUUAUAGCAGUUUUGUGGAAACUACCAUUUAUUGGUCAACAGGAUCAUGAAUGCCAGUUUUAUUUUAAAUUUGACAUAACACAAAAAAUAAAAAUGCAUAAAAAUCAAUGUUACUGCCAAUCCUUGACCCAUCUCAGGAUCUAAUAAAAUAAUAAUCAUAUAUAUUAUUAUCCUAAUAGUAGUAGUUUACAAAUUUUAAUGACAUUAUUUGGGAGUUGUUUAAAAAAAAAAGAA